UCCCGCGUAGCUCAAUCGGCAGAGCGUCCGGCUGUUAACCGGCAGGUUCCCCGUUCGAGUCGGGGCGCGGGAG
rnacentral:tRNA from 1 species